CACCAUGCCACCUGGUCCAGAGCUCUCAGUGACACCAUAAGGAGAAUUCCAUGUGGGCAGACAACAUGGCAAAAACAGUUGGCUCUUCCCAUCCUGGUACAGCAGAGGGAGGAGUGUGGGAAAAAACAAUUUUCCUUUCUUCCCAUCCCUGUCCCACCCCAACAUAGCCAUUUCAGGAGGUUCUGCAGGACCCAGACUCACAGUUUCAGCAUAUGGGUCUGCACUCCUACAGGAGGCAGAAGAGUGAGCCAGCUGCAGGAGAGUCAAAAAACACCAGGAAACAUGAGCUGUCCCCGGAGAACUGCAGAGCAAAGUCCACACACUCAACAACUGUGAAGUCUCUAAGAACAGCUCUGAAGGGGACCCGAGCACAUCAGUGCAAGAAACAGAGAAGGCAACUUCCUGGAAAAGACAGAGAUGCACAAAGAGGAGGUGACCAUAAAGAACCUCUAAUCUGAUUAGGCACAUCUUCCUGCACCAGCAGGGCAUCCAGACAAGGGGUCCCGCACCUGCAAGAGCCCUGAGACAGGAAAAAUGAGGCGGGUUACAUAUUCAGGGAGAAACAGACAGCAGCAGGCAUGAGGGGCUGCCAGGGCCCUGAUUCUUCUGGAACUUGCUUUGAAGGCCCCGGGACUGGAGCAUGGCGGGGGAGUGAAAAUCCAUUCAACAAACAUGGCCAAUGGUUGCUCACUGCCAGACUAUGUAAUUGCAAAAUCCAUUUCCAGAUGGCAUGCUUGUCUGGGACACUAUAGGCACCAUGCACCCUGCAGGAGCCCUGGUGCUCCCAUCCCAGGUGCCAGCUUCCUAGACUGGACCCAGCCUGUAAAUCAUACCUGAUCCACCAGGCUCCCCACAGGUAUUACAUCAUGACUAUGUGAAAGCAACUGACAGGCCAUGAAGCCAGCAUGUAGCUCAAGGACAAUAGGGCUCACAGUACUCAUGAGGUGAAGGCUACCUCAACUCUACUGAACAGUAAGGCAAAGCCCCCGAUGUUGGGCACAGGGGAGUCCUUGGAGAACAUUCCAUCACAGGAGCCCCCAAACAGCCCUCAAACCCCUUCAAUAAAGCACUAAAUGCCUCCUUGUGGAAGACUAGAAGAGCUGAAAAGUAGAGACUGACUCCUACGCUGCUCCUAAAGCCGUGACUCAGACAUGGAUGUCUUCCACAGUUGAAUGACUUGGGCCUAGAGCUGGAGAGGUAAAGGCAUCGAUGACCAUAUCAAGAGCCAGGUGGGGUUGAACCAGAGUCCAAAUUGUAACAUGUGUGCUCUUCAACUGAAAAUGCAGUCAUAUCCCCAUAAGCCUCACCAAUGGAAAUAUUCGAACCAUAUUUCCAACCAUAUCCUUGGUUCCUCUUCUCCCACCAGAGUCUUCCCAGGAAGAACUCAUUAUCCCUCAGUUUAAAUACCACCACCCUGCUAAUGAGACCCACCACCACCCCCCAAAAAAAUUUACAAACCCACUCAGGUACCAGAGCCGUCCUGAAACACCAAAGUAUUACUGUGUCCCAAAUAGAAUUCCUGAUCAACCCAGGAUCUUACCCAACUGAAAAAGUGGCUCCACGCCAAUGCAUAGAUGUACCCCUUGAGUCAUCUCAAGAGUGUCUCCAUCACACUCCCAAACCCAUCUCUAAAAUCUCCCUACCUACCUUAUCCACUUAUCACCCUGCUCACUGUAAGUAUACUAUUAAGGUUGGCUAUACCUUAUCCAAAAUGCCUGGGACCAGAAGUGGCUCAGCU